AGCAGCCGCGGUAAUUCCAGCUCCAAUGGCGUAUAUUAAAGUUGUUGCAGUUAAAAAGCUCGUAGUUGAAUUUCGGGAUCAAGGAAUCGGUCAUGCCUUGGUAUGUACUGGUUUUAUUGGUUCUCACCUUCUAAAGAACCAUAAUGUCAUUUAUUUGAUGUUAUGGGGAAUUAGGACUGUUACCUUGAAAAAUUAGAGUGUUUAAAGCAAGCUUACGCUUGAAUACAUUAGCAUGGAAUAAUGAAAUAGGACAUCAGAUUCUAUUUUGUUGGUUUCUAGGAUCGAUGUAAUGAUUAAUAGGGAUAGUUGGGGGCAUUAGUAUUCAAUUGUCAGAGGUGAAAUUCUUGGAUUUAUUGAAGACUAACUACUGCGAAAGCAUUUGCCAAGGAUGUUUUCAUUAAUCAAGAACGAAAGUUAGGGGAUCGAAGACGAUCAGAUACCGUCGUAGUC
rnacentral:rRNA from 1 species